rnacentral:piRNA from 1 species
UGUCAGGUUUGUGGCUUCCUGAUGGUUUGA